AGUUUGAUCAUGGCUCAGAACGAACGCUGGCGGCGUGCCUAACACAUGCAAGUCGAACGAGAAACCUUGGGCUUGCUCAGGGGAGUAAAGUGGCGAACGGGUGAGUAACGCGUGGGUAACCUGCCCUUGAAUCUGGGAUAACUUCGCGAAAGCGUUGCUAAUACCGGAUAUUGCCCUAUUGGUUGUGACCUUUAGGGUGAAAGGUAACCUCUUCAUGAAAGUUGUCGUUCAAGGAUGGGCCCGCGUACCAUUAGCUUGUUGGUGGGGUAACGGCUCACCAAGGCAACGAUGGUUAACUGGUCUGAGAGGAUGAUCAGUCACACUGGAACUGAAACACGGUCCAGACUCCUACGGGAGGCAGCAGUGGGGAAUUUUGCGCAAUGGGGGAAACCCUGACGCAGCAACGCCGCGUGAGUGAAGAAGGCUUUCGGGUCGUAAAGCUCUGUCAAGUGGGAAAAAAGUCUUUCGAUUAAUAGCCGGAAGAUCUGAUGGUACCACUGGAGGAAGCACCGGCUAACUCCGUGCCAGCAGCCGCGGUAAUACGGAGGGUGCAAGCGUUGUUCGGAAUUACUGGGCGUAAAGGGCGUGCAGGCGGGUUGGUAAGUCAGAUGUGAAAGCCCUGGGCUCAACCCAGGAAGUGCAUUUGAAACUGCCAUCCUUGAGUAUGGGAGAGGAGAGUGGAAUUCCCAAUGUAGAGGUGAAAUUCGUAGAUAUUGGGAGGAACACCCGUGGCGAAGGCGACUCUCUGGACCAAUACUGACGCUGAGACGCGAAAGCGUGGGGAGCAAACAGGAUUAGAUACCCUGGUAGUCCACGCCGUAAACUAUGAGAACUAGGUGUAGCGGGUAUUGACCCCUGCUGUGCCGAAGUUAACGCAUUAAGUCUCCGCGCUGGAGGGGGGGCGAAA
rnacentral:rRNA from 1 species